AAAGGUAGCAUAAUCACUUGUCUCCUAAAUAGGGACUAGUAUGAAUGGCCAAAUGAGGAUUUACCUGUCUCUUGUAGUUAAUCUAUGAAAUUAAUCUUUUAGUACAAAAGCUAAAAUAAUAUUAUAAGACGAAAAGACCCUGUGGAACUUUAGACAACAAACAAACUAUGUUUCCCUUGUCUUUAGUUGGGGCAACUUUGGAAAAAACUUCAACUUCCAAUAAUUCUUAAGGUGGACACACCAACAACAUUAAAUAUGACCCAGUAAUACUGAUUAAAGAAACAAGCUACCCCAGGGAUAACAG
rnacentral:rRNA from 1 species